UCCAGUGCGGCCGCGGCAAAAUGGCGGCGCCCAGGCGGCCUCACGAGGAGGAGGCUGCUGCUGAAGACGCUUCGGUGGAGGCGAAGCGGCCUCGUGGGCAGAGGCGGCUCUUGGUGGUGCUAGAAGGGGCGAGUCUAGAGACUGUGAAGGUGGGGAAGACGUUCGAGCUCCUCAACUGCGACAAGCAUAAGGCGCUGCUGCUGAGGAACGGCCGGGACCCCGGGGAGGUGCGACCCGACAUCACCCACCAGAGUCUCCUGAUGCUCAUGGACAGUCCGCUGAAUCGGGCUGGCCUCCUGCAGGUUUAUAUCCACACCCAGAAGAAUGUACUAAUUGAAGUCAAUCCCCAAACCAGAAUCCCACGAACUUUUGAUCGAUUCUGUGGUCUUAUGGUUCAGUUGCUGCAUAAGCUCAGUGUUCGAGCUGCUGACGGACCUCAGAAAUUGCUGAAGGUGAUUAAAAAUCCAGUCAGUGAUCAUCUCCCUGUGGGCUGUAUGAAGAUAGGUACUUCUUUUGCAGUUCCUAAAGUGUCAGAUCUGCGUGAACUGAUUCCUACAGCAGAGCCAGUUGCCAUUGUUGUGGGAGCUUUUGCCCAUGGUUCGGUCAGUGUUGACUAUACAGAAAAGAUGGUCUCCAUCAGCAACUAUCCCCUCUCUGCUGCCCUGACGUGUGCUAAAAUUACUACUGCCUUUGAGGAAGCCUGGGGAGUAGUGUGAAAUUCUGCUGCUGUCAUGAUGGACUUCCAUACAGUGACUCCACAUUCUGGAAAGGCUCGUUCACUUCCGUGUGGAUCUGGUGCAACUUUGGGCUCCUGGAAGGGAAAGGGCUUCAAUUUCAUCUUUGUAGCUUCUGGAUCAAUGAGACUUUAAAUGGACUGCCCUACAGAGCCUUUUGCCUCCUAUUAAAUGUUGCUUUUGUCAGAAGUGAUUCCAUGGAUGCUGAAGACUCAGGCCCCAAAAAGGCGAUGGGGAAUGCAGAUACUUAAAGUAGGAUCAAGAGACUGUAGCAAGUGUUCUGCCCUCUCCCACACAUUGUACUGUGCAACUUCUCCCACUGUUUCAUCUGCUCUAAAAUCCAAGCAAAUGGUAAAGGGCAACCAUUCACAAGGAUAUGGUAAGACUAAACAAAGGAAAGGAAGAUGGGAACUGAGGUCCAGUGAUGGUGGUCUGCAAGUUAAAGGUACACUACCGACAAGACACAGAGCACUGGGAAUUGGGAAUCUAAAGCAACAGAUUUGGGGGAAGGAGAUGGUGGGGAAUUUUGAAGGGGACAGAAUAAUGUUCUGACAUGAUUGAAACAACUUUUGUCCAUUUCUAAUCACUACUGUCUCUGUUCCAAAUUCUUUUCCAUUCCAGAAUUCAGUGCCCUCAGACACUCAUAGAGGCUCCCCUUUCAGCUAUGGCUUUCACCAAACCAUGAAUGCAGCUUGCUAACUCCCAUUCUUUGAAUUUGAUUUUCUGACCUCUAGCUCACUGGAACAGCACAGAGGAGGGGAGGAAGAAUGAAGGAGAAAUGGUGUCUUACUCACCAGAUCUUUUCCUCCAUCAUAGUAAUCGAUGGCCAGACCUAGAGUUGCUAAUGGGAAGCGCAAAACUGAACAGCGGGCUCCCUUCUACAAAUUGUUGCAGUAAGAAAGAGUUUUACCAUUUGAAACAAGAACGUGGUGAAGAC